rnacentral:rRNA from 1 species
UAAACGAUGAUAACUCGUUGUCGGCGAUACACAGUCGGUGACUAAGGGAAACCGAUAAGUUAUCCACCUGGGGAGUACGAUCGCAAGGUUGAAACUCAAAGGAAUUGACGGGGGCCCGCACAAGCGGAGGAGCAUGUGGUUUAAUUCGAUGAUACGCGAGGAACCUUACCUAGACUUGAACGUAGAAGUGAUUAUUUAGAAAUAGAUAAGCUAGCAAUAGACUUUUACGAGGUGCUGCAUGGUUGUCGUCAGCUCGUGCCGUGAGGUGUCAGGUUAAGUCCUAUAACGAGCGCAACCCCUACACUUAGUUGCCAGCAUGUUAUGAUGGGGACUCUAAGUGGACUGCCAGCGCAAGCUGUGAGGAAGGUGGGGAUGACGUCAAAUCAGCACGGCCCUUACGUCUAGGGCGACACACGUGCUACAAUGGUAGGUACAGAGGGCAGCUACAUAGCGAUAUGAUGCCAAUCUCAAAAGCCUAUCUCAGUUCGGAUCGGAGUCUGCAACUCGACUCCGUGAAGUUGGAUUCGCUAGUAAUCGCAGAUCAGCCAUGCUGCGGUGAAUACGUUCCCGGGCCUUGUACACACCGCCCGUCAAGCCAUGGAAGCUGGGGGUACCUGAAGUACGUGACCGCAAGGAGCGUCCUAGGGUAAAACUAGUAACUGGGGCUAAGUCGUAACAAGGUAACCGUAAAGGG